CCUACGGGGUGCAGCAGUGGGGAAUAUUGGGCAAUGGGCGCAAGCCUGACCCAGCAUCGCCGCGUGAAGGAAGAAGGCUUUCGGGUUGUAAACUUCUUUUCUCAGGGACGAAGCAAGUGACGGUACCUGAGGAAUAAGCCACGGCUAACUACGUGCCAGCAGCCGCGGUAAUACGUAGGUGGCAAGCGUUAUCCGGAUUUACUGGGUGUAAAGGGCGUGUAGGCGGGAAAGCAAGUCAGAUGUGAAAACCAUGGGCUCAACCUGUGGCCUGCAUUUGAAACUGUGUUUCUUGAGUACUGGGGAGGCAGGCGGAAUUCCUAGUGUAGCGGUGAAAUGCGUAGAUAUUAGGAGGAACACCAGUGGCGAAGGCGGUCUGCUGGACAGCAACUGACGCUGAGGCGCGAAAGCGUGGGGAGCAAACAGGAUUAGAUACCCUAGUAGUC
rnacentral:rRNA from 1 species